rnacentral:pre_miRNA from 1 species
UGUUAAAAAUUUUAUCCAUUUAUAUAGUUAAAAAUUAGGCUAACUGAUAGAAUAACCAAAUAGUAACACGUGGCAUACUAUUUGUACCUCAUACUGAUAUAUAAAGAUCGGUUUUUAACAACAAAAUGGAUGGAAAUUUUAAUA